GACGGUAGGGUAUUGGCCUACCGUGGCUAUGACGGGUAACGGGGAAUUAGGGUUCGAUUCCGGAGAGGGAGCCUGAGAAACGGCUACCACAUCUAAGGAAGGCAGCAGGCGCGCAAAUUACCCAAUUCUGACACAGAGAGGUAGUGACAAGAAAUAACAAUACAGGGUCUAACGAUUUUGUAAUUGGAAUGAACUAAGUUUACAAACCUUUAUAAGUAACAAUUGGAGGGCAAGUCUGGUGCCAGCAGCCGCGGUAAUUCCAGCUCCAAUAGCGUAUAUUAAAGUUGUUGCAGUUAAAAAGCUCGUAGUUGGACCUCAGCUAUAUGUUUAUUUGGCCCCCCUGGGGCCUUAUAUCAUUAGCUUUACCCUCCCUAUACUCACGUAUGGGAGAUUUUACUUUGAGAAAAUUAGAGUGCUUAAAGCAGGCUUUUGCCGUGAAUACUCCAUCAUGUUUAUAAUAAGAAAUGACUUUUAUUUUUCUUAUUGGUUCUAAAAUAAAAGUAAUGAUUAAUAGGAACAGUUGGGGGCAUUUGUAUUCAACAGUCA
rnacentral:rRNA from 1 species